rnacentral:rRNA from 1 species
CCCGGGUCUUGUACACACCGCCCGUCACACCGUGGGAGUGGGUUGCUCCAGAAGGCGUUAGUCUAACCGCAAGGGGACGACGCCCACGGAGUGGUCCAUGACUGGGGUG